rnacentral:rRNA from 1 species
UGCCUAUGAUACUGUCGGGCUUGAGUACUGGAGAGGGGAGUGGAAUUCCUGGUGUAGCGGUGAAAUGCGUAGAUAUCAGGAGGAACACCGGUGGCGAAGGCGGCUCCCUGGACAGAUACUGACACUGAGGCGCGAAAGCGUGGGUAGCAAACAGGAUUAGAUACCCUGGUAGUCCACGCCCUAAACGAUGGGUACUAGGUGUGAGGGCUAUUUAAUGCCCUCGUGCCGAAGCUAACGCAUUAAGUACCCCACCUGGGAAGUACGGCCGCAAGGUUGAAACUCACAGGAAUUGACGGGGGCCCGCACAAGGCGGUGGAGCAUGUGGUUUAAUUCGACGCAACGCGAAGAACCUUAGCUAGGCUUGACAUCCGGAGAAUCCCCUGGAAACAGGGAAGUGCCCGCAAGGGAGCUCCGAGACAGGUGCUGCAUGGCUGUCGUCAGCUCGUGCCGUGAGGUGUUGGGUUAAGUCCCGCAACGAGCGCAACCCUUACACUUAGUUGCCAUCAGGUUAUGCUGGGCACUCUAAGUGAACUGCCGGCGUUAAGCCGGAGGAAGGUGGGGAUGACGUCAAGUCAUCAUGGCCUUUAUGCCUAGGGCUACACACGUGCUACAAUGGCUGGUACAGAGGGUCGCAAAGCCGCGAGGUGGAGCUAAUCCCAAAAAGCCAGCCCCAGUUGGGAUUGCAGUCUGCAACUCGACUGCAUGAACUUGGAAUCGCUAGUAAUCGCGGAUCAGAACGCCGCGGUGAAUACGUUCCCGGGCCUUGUACACACCGCCCGUCACACCACGAAAGUUUGUUAUACCAGAAGUCGGUAAGCUAACCCGCAAGGGAGGCAGCCGCCUAAGGUAUGGCAGGUGAUUGGGGUGAAGUCGUAACAAGG